GAAGGUCAAUAACAGAGGUUUAUUUUAUUUAAUUGAGGUUGGUGUAACUGAUAUCAAAAAAUAGUAAUAAUUUGAAAAUCCCAUCAUAGUUGGCAAUUACAGGCAUAGGAAUAUUUCUAUGUCCAUGGUAGCAAUAGAGCAAAGGCAAUCCUUUAUUAAGCUAUUAUAUCGUACUUCAAAUAAUAGUUAGAUCUAUAAAUCGCCUUAAAGUUUUAUUACAGAACGUUUAUUACAGAAGUGCCGAAGAAUGCAAGUAGGAAAGAAACAUUUUGAAAUUGCUACGAAAUGGAUCCCAUCUGUAUUAACUUAUGGAGGAACAGCUGGUGUGGCACUGAUUUAUUUUACCGAUUGGAAAGUAGUAGCUAGAUACAUACCAUUUUAUGGAAGCAAAUUUGACAACUAAGUUGUAAAAUAUAUUUAUUGUAAUAUGUUAAUAAAUUAUAGUACUAUAUAA